AGGAAAUGACUUCCUACAGCUAGCUGAUCAGGAGUUAGCGCUCACUCUGCUUGGAGCCAGAACCUGGAGCAUACCCAGAUGUGGACCAAAACACAGCUUCAGCUCACCCAACAGAUGAAACUGACAGAAUGAAACCAGAGAAACUUUAGCAACCAAAGAAAGCAGCCUUCCAAGGAUCAAGCUUGAUGCAAAUGAAUCCUUUGACCCUGGAAGCCACACGUUGAAAAUGGAGGGGCCACAGCACGGAAAAAGUCCCUGAAUCACUGCCUAGAGGAGACUUAAGACAAGUUUUGAACUUCAUGAGAAAGAAAAUAAACUUCUAUUGUGUUUAAACCAUUAUUCAUUUUAAGAGUUGACUGUAACAAGAGCUUGUAUUAUUGUAACCAGUGCAUUAUUGUUACAUGUAUUCUUCCAAAUUGUCUGAAAUAAAUUGACUAUGGAUUGGC